AGCGAACGCUGGCGGCAGGCCUAACACAUGCAAGUCGAACGCACCUUUCGGGGUUAGUGGCGGACGGGUGAGUAACACGUGGGAACGUGCCUUUAGGUUCGGAAUAACUCAGGGAAACUUGUGCUAAUACCGAAUGUGCCCUUCGGGGGAAAGAUUUAUCGCCUUUAGAGCGGCCCGCGUCUGAUUAGCUAGUUGGUUGAGGUAAUGGCUCACCAAGGCGACGAUCAGUAGCUGGUCUGAGAGGAUGAUCAGCCACAUUGGGACUGAGACACGGCCCAAACUCCUACGAGAGGCAGCAGUGGGGAAUGUUGCGCAAUGGGCGAAAGCCUGACGCAGCCAUGCCGCGUGAAUGAUGAAGGUCUUAGGAUUGUAAAAUUCUUUCACCGGGGACGAUAAUGACGGUACCCGGAGAAGAAGCCCCGGCUAACUUCGUG
rnacentral:rRNA from 1 species